rnacentral:rRNA from 1 species
GACGAACCGUGCGAACGUUGUUCGGAAUCACUGGGCUUAAAGGGCGCGUAGGCGGGCUGCCGCGUCCGGGUGAAAUCCUCCCGCUCAACGGGAGAACGGCCUCGGAUACGGGCGGCCUGGAGGGGGUAGGGCAGGCGGAACGCUGGGUGGAGCGGUGAAAUGCGUAGAGAUCAUGAGGAAGACAGUGGCGAAGGCGGGUCUCUGGACAGUCCUGACACUGAGGCACGAAGCCAGGGAGCAAACGGG